rnacentral:lncRNA from 1 species
GUCACUCUUGUGUUAGCAAUACUGUCUCUAAGCUUGCCAUCUCAAAUCUCAGCUGAUACCUACUUGUACUCAUCACCUCCUCCUCCCAAGAAGCCCUAUUAUUAUCACUCUCCUCCACCACCUUCACCUCCUCCACCUAAGCCAUACUACUAUCAUUCACCACCACCACCUUCACCUCCUCCACCCAAGCCAUACUACUAUCACUCACCACCACCACCUUCACCUCCUCCACCUAAACCAUACUACUAUCACUCACCACCACCACCUUCACCUCCUCCACCUAAACCAUACUACUAUCACUCACCACCACCACCUUCACCUCCUCCACCUAAACCAUACUACUAUCACUCACCACCACCACCUUCACCUCCUCCACCUAAGUCAUAUUACUAUCACUCACCACCACCACCACCCAAAAAGAAGCCAUACUACUACCAUUCUCCCCCACCACCUUCACCACCUCCUCCUAAGCCAUACUACUAUCACUCUCCCCCACCGCCUUCACCUCCUCCACCUACGCCAUACUACUAUCAUUCUCCCCCACCACCCUCACCACCUCCACCUAAGCCAUACUACUACCAUUCACCACCACCCCCACCGAAGAAGAAGCCUUACUACUACCACUCUCCACCACCACCUUCACCUCCUCCUCCAAAGAAGCCAUACUACUACCACUCCCCACCUCCUCCCAAGAAGCCCUACAAAUAUUCAUCUCCCCCACCUCCAGUGCACCCUUACCCUCAUCCUCACCCCCAUCCCCAUCCACACCCCCACCCUCACCCUCCCUACGUUUACAAAUCUCCUCCCCCACCCCCUAAGAAGCCAUACAAGUACCCAUCCCCACCACCUCCAGUCCACGUUUACCCUCACCCUCACCCGCAUCCACACCCUCACCCUCAACCUCACCCCCAUCCACAACCCCACCCUCCCUACAUUUAUCAGUCUCCUCCACCACCCCCUAAGAAGCCUUACAAGUACCCAUCGCCUCCACCUCCCGUCCACCCAUACCCCCAUCCCCACCCUCUUCCUCAUCCCCACCCUCACCCUCUUCCACAUCCCCACCCUCUUCCCCAUCCUCACCCUCUUCCUCAUCCCCACCCUCUUCCCCAUCCUCACCCCCUCCCUCCUUACACUCCUCAUCCAAUCUAUCACUCUCCAUCACCACCACCACCUUACAAGAAGCCUUACAAGUACAAGUCCCCUCCACCACCUCCACACUACAUCUACGCAUCACCUCCACCUCCUUACCACUCUUAGACAGUGGUCAACUAGCAUAGUUCU